GUGGGGAAUCUUGCGCAAUGGGCGAAAGCCUGACGCAGCCAUGCCGCGUGAAUGAUGAAGGUCUUAGGAUUGUGAAAUUCUUUCACCGGGGACGAUAAUGACGGAACCCGGAGAAGAAGCUCCGGCUAACUUCGUGCCAGCAGCCGCGGUAAUACGAAGGGGGCUAGCGUUGCUCGGAAUUACUGGGCGUAAAGGGCGCGUAGGCGGACAGCUUAGUCAGAGGUGAAAGCCCAGGGCUCAACCUUGGAAUUGCCUUUGAUACUGGCUGUCUUGAGUUUGGGAGAGGUGAGUGGAACUCCGAGUGUAGAGGUGAAAUUCGUAGAUAUUCGGAAGAACACCAGUGGCGAAGGCGACUCACUGGCCCAAUACUGACGCUGAGGCGCGAAAGCGUGGGGAGCAAACAGGAUUAGAAACCCUGGUAGUCC
rnacentral:rRNA from 1 species